rnacentral:rRNA from 1 species
GUCCACGCCGUAAACGAUGUCAACUAGCCGUUGGGAGUCUUGAACUCUUAGUGGCGCAACUAACGCAUUAAGUUGACCGCCUGGGGAGUACGGCCGCAAGGUUAACUCAAAUGAAUUGACGGGGCCCGGCACAAGCGGUGGAGCAUGUGGUUUAAUUCGAAGCAACGCGAAGAACCUUACCAGGCCUUGACAUCCAAUGAACUUUCUAGAGAUAGAAGGGUGCCUUCGGGAACAUUGAGACAGGUGCUGCAUGGCUGUCGU